rnacentral:rRNA from 1 species
GUGGAUUAGAUACCCUGGUAGUCCACGCCGUAAACGAUGGAUGCUAGCCGUUGGUGGGUUUACCCUUCAGUGGCGCAGCUAACGCAUUAAGCAUCCCGCCUGGGGAGUACGGUCGCAAGAUUAAAACUCAAAGGAAUUGACGGGGGCCCGCACAAGCGGUGGAGCAUGUGGUUCAAUUCGAAGCAACGCGCAGAACCUUACCAGCCCUUGACAUGCCACGACGGUUUCCAGAGAUGGAUUCCUCCCCGCAAGGGGCGUGGACACAGGUGCUGCACGGUUGUCGCCAGCU